AUGGGUUAGAAUGAUGCAAACUGUGGCUGCAAAUGGGUGUACACAUCUUUGGCUAUCUGCACUGAACUGGAUCCUUGCCGUUUCUUCUAUGGUUCUUUCUUACAGCUUUGGGUUUCUGAUUAAAGGAGCAAAUCAUCAUGUCCAAUCCUGUUGUUCUGCGCAGUAUUAGGAGAUUUGAAGAGGAUAACUACAUUUAUGACUCAGAUGGAUCAUAUAACAACCAUAAGAAACCAGAGUCAUCAAACAAGAAAGAAAAUGAUAUUCGGCUUGGCUUCUUUCAACUG